rnacentral:rRNA from 1 species
AGUGAACGCUGGCGGUAGGCCUAACACAUGCAAGUCGAACGGCAGCACAGUAAGAGCUUGCUCUUACGGGUGGCGAGUGGCGGACGGGUGAGGAAUACAUCGGAAUCUACUUUUUCGUGGGGGAUAACGUAGGGAAACUUACGCUAAUACCGCAUACGACCUACGGGUGAAAGCAGGGGAUCUUCGUACCUUGCGCGAUUGAAUGAGCCGAUGUCUGAUUAGCUAGUUGGCGGGGUAAAGGCCCACCAAGCCAACGGUCCGUAGCUGGUCUGGGAGGAUGAUCGGCCACACUGGAACUGGGCCACGGUCCAGCCUCCUCCGGGAGGCACCAGUGGGGAAUAUUGGCCAAUGGGCGCAAGCCUGAUCCAGCCCUACCGCGUGGGUGAAGAAGGCCUUCGGGUUGUAAAGCCCUUUUGUUGGGAAAGAAAAGCAGCAGGUUAAUACCCCGCUGUUCUGACGGUACCCAAAGAAUAAGCACCGGCUAACUUCGUG